rnacentral:rRNA from 1 species
ACGAACGCUGGCGGCGUGCUUAACACAUGCAAGUCGAACGGAAAGGCCUGCUUUCCCUUGUGGAUUGCGGGUGCUCGAGUGGCGAACGGGUGAGUAACACGUGAGUGAUCUGCCCCCAACUUGGGUAUAAGCCUGGGAAACUGGGUCUAAUUCCCGAUAGGACUGCAGGGUGGUGCCUGUGGUGGAAAACGAUUUUCUAGUGGUUGGGGAUGAGCUCGCGGCCUAUCAGCUUGUUGGUGGGGUAAUGGCCUACCAAGGCGGCGACGGGUAGCCGGCCUGAGAGGGUGGACGGCCACAUUGGGACUGCGAUACGGCCCAGACUCCUACGGGAGGCAGCAGUGGGGAAUAUUGCACAAUGGGCGGAAGCCUGAUGCAGCGACGCCGCGUGGGGGAUGACGGCCUUCGGGUGGUAAACUCCUUUCGACCGCGAGGAAGCCACGUGGUUGGAAGGGUGGUGACGGUAGUGGUAGAAGAAGCACCGGCUAACUACGUG